GGUUAAGCGACUAAGCGUACACGGUGGAUGCCCUGGCAGUCAGAGGCGAUGAAGGACGUGCUAAUCUGCGAAAAGCGUCGGUAAGGUGAUAUGAACCGUUAUAGCCGGCGAUGUCCGAAUGGGGAAACCCAGUGCAAUUCGUUGCACUAUCGUUAACUGAAUACAUAGGUUAACGAGGCGAACCGGGGGAACUGAAACAUCUAAGUACCCCGAGG
rnacentral:rRNA from 1 species